UACAGAGGUCCCGAGCGUUGUUCGGAUUCAUUGGGCGUAAAGGGUGCGUAGGCGGUCUUCUAAGUUUGAUGUGAAAUCCCGGGGCUCAACCCUGGAAUUGCAUUGAAUACUGGAGGACUAGAGUGCCGGAGAGGAAACUGGAAUUUACGGUGUAGCAGUGAAAUGCGUAGAGAUCGUAAGGAAGACCAGUGGCGAAGGCGAGUUUCUGGACGGUAACUGACGCUGAGGCACGAAGGCCAGGGGAGCAAACGGG
rnacentral:rRNA from 1 species